UAAGUCGUAACAAGGUUUCCGUAGGUGAACCUGCGGAAGGAUCAUUACAGAAAGUAAACGCGGAUCCAAACCGCGAACUUCUAAACCUUUGACGAUUGACUCAUGUUGCCUCGGCGGGUUCUCCCGCCAGAGGAUACAUCAAAACUCCUGUUUUAACGGUGUUGUCUGAGCUACAAGCAACGAAUCAAAACUUUCAACAACGGAUCUCUUGGUUCUGGCAUCGAUGAAGAACGCAGCGAAAUGCGAUAAGUAGUGUGAAUUGCAGAAUUCAGUGAAUCAUCGAAUCUUUGAACGCACAUUGCGCCCCUUGGUAUCCCGAGGGGCAUGCCUGUUCGAGCGUCAUUUCACCACUCAAGCCUGGCUUGGUGUUGGGCGACGUCCCCUUUAGGGACGCGCCUCGAAACGCUCGGCGGCGUGGCACCGGCUUUAAGCGUAGCAGAAUCUUUCGCUUUGAAAGUCGGGGCCCCGUCUGCCGGAAGACCUACUCGCAAGGUUGACCUCGGAUCAGGCAGGGAUACCCGCUGAACUUAAGCAUAUCAAUAAGCGGAGGAAAAGAAACCAACAGGGAUUGCCUCAGUAACGGCGAGUGAAGCGGCAACAGCUCAAAUUUGAAAUCUGGCUCUUUUAGGGUCCGAGUUGUAAUUUGUAGAGGAUGCUUCGGCGUCGGCUCCGGUCUAAGUUCCUUGGAACAGGAUAGGGGGGG
rnacentral:rRNA from 1 species